rnacentral:tRNA from 1 species
GUUUUUACUGGGUUAAAGAAAUUUUGAAAAUUUCCUAUAAGUGUUCAAUUCACUUAAAAACU